rnacentral:rRNA from 1 species
GGGAAUAUUGCACAAUGGGCGAAAGCCUGAUGCAGCAACGCCGCGUGAGUGAUGAAGGUCUUCGGAUUGUAAAGCUCUGUCUUUUGGGACGAUAAUGACGGUACCAAAGGAGGAAGCCACGGCUAACUACGUGCCAGCAGCCGCGGUAAUACGUAGGUGGCGAGCGUUGUCCGGAUUUACUGGGCGUAAAGGGUGCGUAGGCGGAUGUUUAAGUGAGAUGUGAAAUACC